UACAGAGGGGGCAAGCGUUAUUCGGAAUUAUUGGGCGUAAAGGGCGCGUAGGCGGCCUGGCAAGUGGAAGGUGAAAUCCCUCGGCUUAACCGAGGAAGUGCGCCCGAAACUGUAGAGCUUGAGUACCGGAGAGGAUGGCGGAAUUCCCCAAGUAGAGGUGAAAUUCGUAGAUAUGGGGAGGAACACCGGUGGCGAAGGCGGCCAUCUGGACGGAUACUGACGCUGAGACGCGAAAGCGUGGGGAGCAAACAGG
rnacentral:rRNA from 1 species